rnacentral:rRNA from 1 species
CUCAGCCCUUAACAUAGACAAUACAAGCACAAUAUUGUCCGCCAGAGAACUACAAGUGAAAAACUAGAAACUCCAAGGACUUGGCGGUGCCCCACAUCAACCUAGAGGAGCCUGUCCUAUAAUCGAUAAUCCACGCUGUACCUUACCAUUUCUCGCAAUUCAGCCUAUAUACCGCCGUCGGAAGCUUACCUUAUGAAAGAAACAAAGUAAGCAAAACAGUCAACAACUAAAACGUCAGGUCAAGGUGUAGCACAUGAAAUGGAAGAGAUGGGCUACAUUUUCUACUUCAGAAAACACGAACAGAACAAUGAAACCUGUACUCAAAGGAGGAUUUAGCAGUAAGCCAAAAAAGAAACUUUGCCUUAAAUCCGCUCUGGGGCGCGCACACACCGCC